rnacentral:rRNA from 1 species
AAACGACUCUCGGCAACGGAUAUCUCGGCUCUUGCAUCGAUGAAGAACGUAGGGAAAUGCGAUACUUGGUGUGAAUUGCAGAAUCCCGUGAACCAUCGAGUCUUUGAACGCAAGUUGCGCCCGAGGCCAUUUAGGUUGAGGGCACGUCGUCCUGGGCGUCACACACA